CGGGGAAUGGUCCAACGGCAGGAUAUGCGCAUGGGGUGCGCAUGGUGGGAGUUCGAUUCUCCCUUCCCCGACAA
rnacentral:tRNA from 2 species